rnacentral:tRNA from 4 species
GGCGGUGUGCCCGAGUGGCCAAAGGGAGCAGACUGUAAAUCUGCCGGCUCAGCCUUCCCAGGUUCGAAUCCUGGCGCCGCCACCC